rnacentral:rRNA from 1 species
CUUAAAUGAAUUGACGGGACCCGCACAAGCGGUGGAUGAUGUGGUUUAAUUCGAUGCAACGCGAAAACCUUACCCACCUUUGACAUGUACGGAAGUUACCAGAGAUGGUUUCGUGCUCGAAAGAGAACCGUAACACAGGUGCUGCAUGGCUGUCGUCAGCUCGUGUCGUGAGAUGUUGGGUUAAGUCCCGCAACGAGCGCAACCCUUGUCAUUAGUUGCUACAUUUAGUUGGGCACUCUAAUGAGACUGCCGGUGACAAACCGGAGGAAGGUGGGGAUGACGUCAAGUCCUCAUGGCCCUUAUAGGUGGGGCUACACACGUCAUACAAUGGCUGGUACAAAGGGUUGCCAACCCGCGAGGGGGAGCUAAUCCCAUAAAGCCAGUCGCAGUCCGGAUCGUAGUCUGCAACUCGACUGCGUGAAGUCGGAAUCGCUAGUAAUCGUGGAUCAGAAUGUCACGGUGAAUACGUUCCCGGGCCUU